CUGGGGGGGGGGGGGGAGAGCCGAGCUGCUGGGGCCCCAGGAAGGCGGGCAGGAGGCAGGCAGGCAGGCGGCCGAGAGACAAGGAGGGAGGCUGCAGGCAGGAAGGCAGGCAGGAGCUAGCCCUGGGGGGGGCCAGGAAGGCAGGCGCAGAGCGCCCCCCUCCCCAAGCUGUGCCUCCGCGCCCGCCCCGCCCCGCCUGGGGAGGGGGCACCGAGGAACAGGAGCAGGAGCAGGAGGAGAGACCCCGGCCCCGCCGCAGCCCCGCCCCCAGACCCUUGCGCCUCGCUGGGGGGUGACCCCCCCCCGGGGCUGGCCAUGCAGCGUCCCCGAGGGAGCCCCGCCUCUCGCUUCUAGGUGCCACCCAUGUAGGUGUCUAGACUGGCUGACUCCCCAACCUGCCUUUGUCAGGGGGUAGGGGGAAUCCAUCUCUCCAGCAUUCCACAGCCAUGUUCCACAUGUCAUCUGGCUAAAGAACAGGCUAAGGCUCCUUCCCUCCUUCCUCAACUCCAUCCUGCAAAGACCCACACUCAUCAGAGGAUUACUAUUCUGCCUCUACCCUUAUCCAGUGAACCAUCCCUUGUAACAAAAAAAAGAAAGAAGAAAAACCCUUCACAUCAACCCAACCCGACAACAUGUGCAAUCUUUCACACCCAGAGAUUCCCACUCUUGCAAAGAAGGGGGGGAGGGGCAUUGCUUAUCUUUUCCUCAGGGCCGACCUUGGUCACUGUAAUUACACAGUGUUCAGCAUUAGGGUUUUCUGUGGUUGCUGUUCUUUCUGCUUAUGUUUUUGAUAUUCCUUUUGUAUGCUGUGUUCCUAAUUCUGUUUGCUUCACUCUGUUCGUUAUAAUUAAAAUUUAUUUUCAUGGCCCCAAAAGGCAAAACUGGGACAAUUGUGCAAAUGGGAUGAAUCCAGAUUUCAUCUAGAUGUAAGGAAAAUCUCCCAAUAAUUAGAGCAGUGCACAACAGAAGCAUAGAGGUUCAGAUUCCGUGGCAGCCACUUACCAGCUGUGUGAUUAGAGACAAGUUGUCUCAGGUCUGUGGACCUCCGACUACCUAAAGUACCCUCCCAGGCAGGGCUGUGAGUGUCAUCUGAGGUGAUGCGUCUCAAGCACUGGUUAGUGUGUAGGUCCCUGAGUCAGGGCGCAAGAUAUGGAUCCUGCUAGGGUCUUUUGGACAGAUUGGGAUCCAUAUCCCUCUUCCUCCCUCCCCCAUAUCAUUCACCAAAAGCCACAGCUGGAAGGAGCCUCAGAGACCCUCCGAGUCAUGAGUUCUUUAUUUUUGUGAGUAUCAUGGACCUGUUUUUCAAAUCUGGUGCAGCCCAGGGACCCCUUCUCAGAAUCAUGGUUUUAAAUACAUGAAAUGAAACACACAGGAUUACAAAGGACUCCGAUUUUGUUGAAAUUCAGAUGCAUCUUUUCACAGUUCAUGGACUUCCUGAAAUCUGACUGCCAAAGGGUCCUUGGACCCCGGAUUAAGAACCUCUGCUCCCAUACCACAACCUCUUCUUACAGAGGAAGAAGCA